GAUACCAGGGUCAAAAGGUCAUGCGUUUCAUGCUUGCAUGAUAAGGCUUUUGAACUUGGGACCCGUCAAAUAUGAGAAAGUAGCGAUUUACGUAGUAAAUCAGCGGAUUUCGAAUGUUUACAGAAUUACGGGAGCUGCUUCGUAACGGAGCAAUUUGUAAGCAU
rnacentral:sRNA from 1 species